rnacentral:rRNA from 1 species
AAUUUUGGACAAUGGGGGAAACCCUGAUCUAGCCAUCCCGCGUGUAUGAUGAAGGCCUUCGGGUUGUAAAGUACUUUUGGCAGAGAAGAAAAGGUACCUCCUAAUAUGAGGUACUGCUGACGGUAUCUGCAGAAUAAGAACCGGCUAACUACGUGCCUGCAGCCGCGGUAAUACGUAGGGUGCAAGCGUUAAUCGGAAUUACUGGGCGUAAAGCGGGUAUAGGCGGUUCGGAAAGAAAUAUGUGAAAACCCAGGGCUCAACCUUGGAACUGCAUUUUUAACUGCCGAACUAGAGUAUGUCAGAGGGGGGUAGAAUUCCACGUGUAGCAGUGAAAUGCGUAGAUAUGUGGAGAAAUACCGAUGGCGAAGACAGCCCCCUGGGAUAAUACUGGCGCUCAGACACGAAAGCGUGGGGAGCAAACAG